rnacentral:rRNA from 1 species
UACGAAGGGGGCUAGCGUUGUUCGGAUUUACUGGGCGUAAAGCGCACGUAGGCGGAUUGUUAAGUCAGGGGUGAAAUCCCGCAGCUCAACUGCGGAACUGCCUUUGAUACUGGCAAUCUCGAGUCCGGAAGAGGUGAGUGGAACUCCUAGUGUAGAGGUGGAAUUCGUAGAUAUUGGGAAGAACACCGGUGGCGAAGGCGGCUCACUGGCUCAUUUCUGACGCUCAGGCGCGACAGCGUGGGGAUCAAACAGG